CAUUGUUGGGUUUUUGUUUUGAGACAGAGUCUUGCUCCAUCGCCCAGGCUGGAGCACAGCGGCGAGAUCUCAGCUCACUGCAACCUCCGCCUCAUAGGUUUAAGUGAUUCUUGUGCCUCAGCCUCCGAAGUAGCUGGGACUACAGGUGCCACCACGCCCGGCUAAUUUUUUGUAUCUUUAGCAGAGACAGGAUUUCACCAUGUUGGCUAGGCUGGUCUCAAACUCCUGACCUCAAGUGAUCCACCUGCCACAGCCUCCCAAAGUGUUGAAUUACAGGCAUGAGCCACCACGCCCAGCCCGCAGAAGACAUUGCUAAUAAUGUAACAUUAUUUUUUCCUUUGCAUCUAUUUUUGUGAAUUUUUCUGUAAUAUAUAAUCAAAAUUGGUAACCUGUGUAUAAAUUAUGAAGCAUAAUAAUAAAAGAAACCCACAAACUCAUCCAAAACAUCUAACUUUUCCAAGGACUUUCUGCACGUGGGUGACAUGCUGGGUAUUUUUCAUACUUGUGUGUAUAAGAGGUACAGCCAUUACGGGCAGACCAAACGCUCAAGUUGCCCAUGACCCGGGAAUGACGCUGACCCACCACACUUCUGCCUACACCGUUUUUUAAAGUUUUGCUAAUUUAAGUCUUUCAAAAUCAAAUACAAUAGCUCUGCCCAUGUCCAAAUUACUCCUUUUUACAAAGAAAAGUAUUCACUAGCCUCUCUUAUAAUUUCUGUGUGAGCAAACCCAAUUUGAACAAAACGGUAAAUAUUCAACAUAUUCAUAAAAUAGUCAAAACGCUUUGUGUCAUGCUUUUCUCUGAUCUUUAGAACUAAACUUUUUUAGAAACAUAUAUUACAAAUACUCCAAUGAAUUAAAUUACUUCCGAAGUGAUCUGAAAUGGUCUCAAGUAGAAACAAUGAAAUAUAAAUACUAUGUAUUUUUUCCCUUAAACAUGUAUUCAAUUUACUAAGAAUGCUUUCAGCUCAUCAGAUAUUCUUUAGCAACAGUCUUGCUAAAUAAUGCUCAUCAUAUAUUCCUACGUAAAACGAUGAGUAAUCCUCAUUUCAAAUAGCCUUAUUAUCCAGGAGAAUUUUUUUUUUUUUUUUUUUUAAGAGACAGGGUCUCACUCUGUUGCCCAGGCUGGAGUGCAAUGGAGCAAUCUUUGUUCACCACAAC
rnacentral:lncRNA from 1 species